CCUGUUUAUAUUAGUAAGCAGUUAGUAAUUAUGUUAAUAAAAUAGGUCAAAAAAUUUAACUCAACUUUUUUGAAAAAUAAAUAGUAAUAUUCUGAUUCACAUAAUAAAAAUGGUAAAGUUUUUAAUGUUAAAGCAUAAAAAGAAUUAAGUUCUGAUACAUUUCAUACAACUAUAAGUCACUGGAGUAUAUUAGUCAAAAGCAACCCUAGAGGUCAUUUCACUCUGAUGACUGACUUUUACUUACACAUCAUCAGUAAUGUAAAAUAUGAAAUAUUUUGAUAAAUUUAUAUCAUGUGGGAAGAAAAGGUCAAUGGAUCUGGUUUAAUCAUAGCUUAUUGUUUCUCUAUCUGAACAAAACAAGAGCUGCAUACCAUAAGGCUGUAGUAUAGCUCAUUAUUUGAACUAAAGUGGAUAACCAGAAAAAGCAUAAAGAUUGAUUUAUCCCUCCAAUUCUAUUUAUAAGACAUUUAUGCAAAUCACACUGAGAAUUACAAGAUGAGCUACAGGUAACACCCUGGUGGUUCAGUGGUUAGGACUCCAUGCUUCCAUUGCAGGGGCCAUGGGUUCAGCUCCUCAUUGGGGAACUAAGAUCCCACAUGCCACAUGGUGCAACCAAAAAAAAAAAGAAAACUACAAAUAUUUUAGAAGGGAAAAUAUCUUAAAUACAGUAACAAUCCAUUUAUAUCAUCAUUGGCUAUAUCAUAUGCUAAGGCGGCUACCUUGCAUAAUUUAAUUUUUCAGUUAACUGAGGCAAAUCCAUUUAAUCAUUAUUUUUUUAACAGUUUUAUAAGAAAUAUUCUAAAUAUACUUUCUACUUCUCUGUAUUUUCUUUGUCAUCUUUAAGAACAUGGGGUGAUAACAGAAAUCCACCCUUAGGGGCUGCUGAAAUAUAGAAUGCCCUUUACUACGUGACCUUGUGUUGCUGUGCUUUUUGAGUCAUAUCUGUUUUUCACAGUUUCUCUAUCUUCCCUUAUAAUCAGUUGUCACUUUUUGCUGCUGUCCUGUAUGCCUGCUUCCCGCACUAGGCCCCUAACUUGCUGCUUCUAAUCUGCUGUGGACUGAGAAACCAGAUUGCCAAGCUUGCUAGAAUUGUGUCUAAAAUAAGAGUAUGGUCCCAGGGAUCCCAGAUCAAACCAGGCCCCUGGGCCUAUCCUAGAACCAACCUAAACUCGCGCAUCAUUCCUGGAACGUCAAGAGUGUGAAGGCUGAAGACAACCUGAAGCUGACGAGACAUACUGAGUUUAAUGUUUUUUUUGUAUGUGUGCCUAUGUGUGAACAAGAAUUGGUUCCUUAAUCCUUCUCAAAUAGAGGGAUGACAGUGGACAAGAUAGUCUUACCAGACUUUGACAUUAUAGUAAUUUAUCACAAUAGGAACGUGGUAUAUAAUAUGGUUAUUAUUAAUUGCCAGUGAGAAGCAUUGUUUUUAAAAUUUUUAUUAUCUGGUCUCUAUUUUUAGGGUAAGCAACUUAGCCACCAAAACAAAUUUCCCUCCUCCCCAAAUUCAUGAUUUCUGCUUUUGCUUUUCUCAAAAACUUUCUACUCAACAAUAGUAUCACAGUCUCAUUUAACUAAUUUUUCGUAGUUUCUAAAAAGGUAUUCUAAAAAGUCUUUGCUUUCUUGCUGCAUUGUAGGUGAUUCUUAAACUCUUGUUUCUGGAAUUUAAUGCCUUUUUCUUUUAAUCUGUUACUGAAUCUACCACAUUGCUUUCAGCUUGCUUUUUGAAAUUCAGAUCUGGGGAGAACUUGAGCAACAUUUGUAGAUGCUCCAUCCCUGUUAGACUCAAUGUGGGCUGCAUUUUGGAAUCUGCUAUAAGAUUUUUAGCAAGGUUCUUUAUUUUUGUUCUCUGCUGCUCUGGAUUUUUAAAAUAUUCUGACCUAGUUGAUUUAUCAAAUGGCCUCAUAUUAUAACAUCACUAUAGUCAUAUACAUGUUUUUAUUUAAUUUGGAGAACAAGAUUUCUGAACAGGCAUAUUGAAAACACCCCCAAAGGUUGUUAUACACCUUUGGUUAUUAUAUUUGUAUAUUGUAUUAUACAAUAUAAUAUUUGUAUAUUAUAUUAUACACCAAAGGUUAUUAAUACACAAUGAAAAUGUAUACUUUUGGUAAUACUAGCAUUUCAGUAGAUUUAGACCAUGUUUGAAGUAAUUGCAGACUAAGCAUGGACUGUACCUGUGAAAGCAGCUGAAACUGUGCUAUUCUUCCAAGCCUUGUCACACUAGAAAACUCUGGCCAGUGAGGUGUCCUUUAAAAUAGGACUGAGAGACUGUCGAGGCUCAUCUGAAGAACUCAACCCUGGGCUUAUUUCUGUAUUACAUUCGUUAUGUAGAUGCUUCAUCCCAUGGAUUCUGUUAUUUUUGCCUUUUAAAUCUUGCUAUGUUUACGCUUCUCAAUGUUUUUCUUUUUGCACAAUGUUUUCCUGUUUGUGUAAAUCAAAGCACUGUACAUGUUACUCUGUGUGUGUGUAUAUAUUCUUAAUAAAAGAGUAGACUGGGUCUACUGAUUUUGAAUUUUAAAGCUAAAUGAUUUAAAUGUGUUUUAUUGUCUUGUAAAUUCACUCUUAAUUUAUGCCUCAAGUCUUCUCAUUCAUUUUUUUCUCUAAUGGACUAUAUAGAUUUAAUAGGUGAGCCUUAUUUUCAUCUUCUGCCAGAAUUUGACAUUUUGUGUUCACCCAAAUAUGAAGAAGUUCUGUCAUCUGCAUUCUUAUAUCAGUGCACAGUUAACUUUAUUUCUUGACAGUUAGCCCAGCUUAUGUUUAUAUACAGUAAGUAUUCUUGGUUAUGGGAAGGGGCCUGUCUACUCACUUUUAACAUGGUUAUUUAUGAACACUGACAAUAGGAAUUUGCAUACUGUCCUACAAAGUUGAUGCUUAUUUACAUAGGAAGUUUCUAAAGUCUGCCUUCACUUUAGAUAUUUUCAGAGUGUUAAGGUGUAUUUUUUAAAUAUCAUUUGAAAAUAUUCUUUCAGAGAUGCUUUAAUUUUUACUUUUUGACUACUUAUGUUUUAUAUGGUAAAACUACGUUUCCAACCCUACUUGAAGACUUGAGAGUAUAACCUUUUUUGAACAGUAAUUUCUUUGAUAACUCUAUGUAUUUUAUCAUAAUGCAUUUUUGUGAACUGUUUUAAAAGAUUUUACAAAAUCCCAACAGUAGGUUUGUACAUAUCUCUAUUAUUGUCGUUCCUCCUUAGCCUAAGUCUCCAAUAAAAUCUGUACUUCUUUAUACUUUGUACCUUUUGUAUUCUGGUGUUUGUCACAUGAAUUAGCCAAAAGAUAAAAUUUCUUUUUCUGUUUCUUCUGUCUUUAUUUUUUUAUUGGACUUUUUUUUUUUUCCCCCAAUAUUUUUUCCCAAAAGACAGUGGUUGUCUAGGAAAGCCUUGGAUUCAUUAGUCUAAGUUUGUUUGAUCAUUCAGGUGC
ensembl:lncRNA